GUAAAACAUUCAUGAAUUAACAAAAUAAUCGUGCUCUGUGGUCUUGGAACAACUCUUCUUUCUCUGAAACAUGUUACAGUGUCCUCUUAGCUUCUAGUGGCUGUCUUGGUUUAACUUCUACCUCAGAAUUUAUUCAAACCUUCCUAGGUCUUGAAAUUUGUGUGAGGUUAGCAAGGAGCGCUGUUCUUCUGAGUAGGGUUGUGUAGGGUCCUGUGUUCACCAGGCUUUGAAGAAACUUAACCUGAGCCCCGUCCCCCAGACACAGGGAUGGAUAACUUAAAAAGGGGAGGGUAAGAAUCAGAGUAAAUCAGACACUUUCCCCCCCAAAAAAGGACAAAACACCAAAAAACAACCCAAAAUUAUGGGCAAGAGAUAAUAGGAGAGCGUAAAGCUGAAUGAAAUCCUGCUUUUAAAGCCAUGUGAACAUAUUCUGAGAAAGAGAUGGCCAAACAGGAGAAUGGGCAAGGAAAAUGGAAAAGAGAAAUAGAGCUCGGGGGAGAGAAAUAGUGAGGGAAAGAGGGGGAAAAAGUUUAAUGUGACUUGAAAAACUAUACCUUAUUUUUCUGUUUGCAGUAUUUGUCUGGUGAAUGUUGCCAAGUUUCUUAAUGUUGGAGGGGAGGGAAGGGGGUUAAGGAGGUAAAGAAGGAAAAGGGGAACCACGGAACAAGUACUUGUCCUGUAAAGUCCGCUCGCUAUUCACCAGAAAAUACUGAUGGAGUGUUUAAAGGAGGUGAAUGAUGGUCUGUACCUUAAUUUCAGGUUAGGAAACCUAAAUGUUUUUGAGUAGAUGCGUCAUAUUAACUUCCAUCAGGCAAUAGUUUUCUUACCACUCUUCUUGUUUGUGGCCCCACCAGCUUUUCCUUUAGGGAGGCUGCAGUAGCUGUUUUUAAUCACUGUUUCAUAAAAGUUGCCUUUGUUUCUGAAGAAGAUGGUCACAGCCGACACUAAGGGACUGAAAACCCAAUGGUGCUGAAGGAAUCCUGUUUUCCUUCAGUCUUAGAAAGGAAAAAAGAACUAAAUUGUGAUGCCCUGGAGCAAUGUUUGUCUUGCUUGGGUGUUACAGCUUGGUCUGGAGAUACCGUGGUAAUGUAUUUUGAGGAUGCUCAAGUAAAUCUGUUGCCGUUCCUAGUGUCACGCUAUGUUUUGCUGUUUAAUUGCUGCCCAGGCACAGAUUGGCAACGACAGAGCUUGCUGUAAUUUAAUUGGGCUCUUGCUAAAAUUGUUAGACAAAACUGGCUUGACCCUCUCCCAGAAGCCUGGGAAAUUCAAUUACGCUCUUUGAAUGCUCAAGAAUGAGCAGCGCUCCUCUGCUUGUGAGCACGGAGUUAAACAAUGGCUUUAAACAAACACAGCUUCUCGUAGGAGAGAAGAAAGGGCAAACCCAACAGAUCUACUUGGAAAACCUGAACAAUUCAGGGUAGACGAGGGCUGCUGCUGCCAAGGCUGUGCUGGCAGCGCUCCUGGCCAAAUCCUCUUCCCGGAGCUCUUUGUUGGUUGGUGU